AUUGAAUUAGUGUAGGCAGCUGAGGUGCUGGGGUUAAAGCACCCAAGAGGGAUUAGAAACACUGGGUUUGAGAACUGGUUCUGUGUUCUUGAAGCAAUUAUUAUACUGCUCCUCCAUCCAUGAUCCUCAGUUUCUUCACCUGAAAAGAAUGGAAAUAAUACACCCUGACUAACGUUUACAAUUCUAUUUGAAGACUCAAAUGAGAUAUUAGAGGAACACGGGGUAGGAAGGAAAUGGAGACACAGCCAACUUUUAAAAGGAUCUGAGCAGUGAGGGAGAGGGUGAGAGCAGGGGUCAUACUUGUAGGGUUUGGUCAAGGGAAUUUUUGUUGCUUUUCUUUUUUUCUUUUUAGGAUCACAGGGACAUGGACAUGCUUGUAAAAACAUAGUCCAAGGGACAUGUCAAAGAAGCCUAAGAAGUUGGAAGACUUUUAGAACAAGGUUCUGAUGGAGGCAGGACAACAUGGAGCAAGGUCAUAGGCAGAAGGAAUUUACUUAAAGAGGAGUAAAAAUAUCUGUUCUGUUACUAGGGUGGAAGAGGGAAGAACACUGCUAGUGCUGAGACUCUUUGAGGAAUGAAGGGGAAAUAAGGAAACUCAUCUUGGAUGGCCUCAACCUUCUUAAUGCAGUCAAACACAUUGUAAGAUCAUCUAUACUAGAUUCUUGUGAAGAAGAAAGGAAGGAAGUAAAGAUAACAGGAAAAGAGGAAGAACAAAAACAAGCAAUGAAAGAAAGAAGGAAAGCAAGAAGGAAGAAAGAAAAAAGGAGGAAGGAGGGAAAGAAAAUAGGAAAGAAGAAAGGAUGAAGAGAAAGAAAGAAAAAGAGAAGGAAUGAGGAAAUAAAGAAAGAAAAAAGGAAGAGAGGAAAGAAGGA
rnacentral:lncRNA from 1 species